GACGAACGCUGGCGGCGGGCUUAACACAUGCAAGUCGAACGGAAGGGCCCUGCUUGUGUGGGGUGCUCGAGUGGCGAACGGGUGAAUAACACGUGAGUAAGCUUCGCUGGAGGGGGGGAUGACUUCAGGAAGCUGGUGAUAAUACCGGCGAGGAGCGCGUGCUGCAGGGGGGGGGUUGGAAAGUUUGGGAGGUUGGGGGUGGAGGGGCGGCUUAUCAGCUGGUUGGGGGGGUAGUGGCUUACCAGGGGUUUGACGGGUGGCCGGCAUGAGAGGGUGACCGGCCACCAGGCGCCUGAGAUACGGCCCAGACUCGUACGGUAGGCAGCAGUGGGGAAUAUUGUACAACGGGCGGAAGCCUGAUGCAGCAAUGCUGCGUGCGUGAUGACGGCCUUCGGGUUGUAAACCGCUUUAGCCUGUGACGAAGCGUGAGUGACGGUAAUGGGUAAAGAAGCACCGGCUAACUACGUG
rnacentral:rRNA from 1 species